rnacentral:rRNA from 1 species
GAUGAACGCUGGCGGCGUGCCUAAUACAUGCAAGUCGAGCGAACAGACGAGGAGCUUGCUCCUCUGACGUUAGCGGCGGACGGGUGAGUAACACGUGGAUAACCUACCUAUAAGACUGGGAUAACUUCGGGAAACCGGAGCUAAUACCGGAUAAUAUAUUGAACCGCAUGGUUCAAUAGUGAAAGACGGUUUUGCUGUCACUUAUAGAUGGAUCAGCGCCGCAUUAGCUAGUUGGUAAGGUAACGGCUUACCAAGGCAACGAUGCGUAGCCGACCUGAGAGGGUGAUCGGCCACACUGGAACUGAGACACGGUCCAGACUCCUACGGGAGGCAGCAGUAGGGAAUCUUCCGCAAUGGGCGAAAGCCUGACGGAGCAACGCCGCGUGAGUGAUGAAGGUCUUCGGAUCGUAAAACUCUGUUAUUAGGGAAGAACAAAUGUGUAAGUAACUAUGCACGUCUUGACGGUACCUAAUCAGAAAACCACGGCUAACUACGUG